CACACUGGACUGAGACACGGUCCAGACUCCUACGGGAGGCAGCAGUGGGGAAUAUUGCACAAUGGGCGCAAGCCUGAUGCAGCCAUGCCGCGUGUGUGAAGAAGGCCUUCGGGUUGUAAAGCACUUUCAGUCGUGAGGAAGGCGGNGUCGUUAAUAGCGGCCUCGUUUGACGUUAGCGACAGAAGAAGCACCGGCUAACUCCGUGCCAGCAGCCGCGGUAAUACGGAGGGUGCGAGCGUUAAUCGGAAUUACUGGGCGUAAAGCGCAUGCAGGUGGUUUGUUAAGUCAGAUGUGAAAGCCCGGGGCUCAACCUCGGAAUAGCAUUUGAAACUGGCAGACUAGAGUACUGUAGAGGGGGGUAGAAUUUCAGGUGUAGCGGUGAAAUGCGUAGAGAUCUGAAGGAAUACCGGUGGCGAAGGCGGCCCCCUGGACAGAUACUGACACUCAGAUGCGAAAGCGUGGGGAGCAAACAGGAUUAGAUACCCUGGUAGUCCACGCCGUAAACGAUGUCUACUUGGAGGUUGUGGCCUUGAGCCGUGGCUUUCGGAGCUAACGCGUUAAGUAGACCGCCUGGGGAGUACGGUCGCAAGAUUAAAACUCAAAUGAAUUGACGGGGGCCCGCACAAGCGGUGGAGCAUGUGGUUUAAUUCGAUGCAACGCGAAGAACCUUACCUACUCUUGACAUC
rnacentral:rRNA from 1 species